CAGGUAGGACUACCCGCUGAACUUAAGCAUAUCAAUAAGCGGAGGAAAAGAAACUAACAAGGAUUCCCCUAGUAACGGCGAGUGAAGCGGGAAGAGCUCAAAUUUGAAAUCUGGUGGACUCAGUCCAUCCGAGUUGUAAUCUAUAGAAACGUUUUCCGCGCCGGCCCAUGUACAAGUCCCUUGGAACAGGGCGUCAUAGAGGGUGAGAAUCCCGUCCUUGACAUGGACCACCGGUGCUAUGUGAUACGUUCUCAACGAGUCGAGUUGUUUGGGAAUGCAGCUCAAAAUGGGUGGUAAAUUCCAUCUAAAGCUAAAUAUUGGCGAGAGACCGAUAGCGAACAAGUACCGUGAGGGAAAGAUGAAAAGCACUUUGGAAAGAGAGUUAAACAGUAUGUGAAAUUGUUGAAAGGGAAACGAUUGAAGUCAGUCAUGUCCUUGGGAUUCAGCCUGUUCUGCAGGUGUACUUCCCUUGGAUGGGGUCAACAUCAGUUUUGACCGCUGGAUAAAGGCUGGAGGA
rnacentral:rRNA from 1 species